AUUGAACGCUGGCGGCAGGCCUAACACAUGCGAGUCGAGCGGAUGAAGGGAGCUUGCUCCUGGAAUCAGCGGCGGACGGGUGAGUAAUGCCUAGGAAUCUGCCUGGUAGUGGGGGAUAACGUCCGGAAACGGGCGCUAAUACCGCAUACGUCCUGAGGGAGAAAGUGGGGGAUCUUCGGACCUCACGCUAUCAGAUGAGCCUAGGUCGGAUUAGCUAGUUGGUGGGGUAAAGGCCUACCAAGGCGACGAUCCGUAACUGGUCUGAGAGGAUGAUCAGUCACACUGGAACUGAGACACGGUCCAGACUCCUACGGGAGGCAGCAGUGGGGAAUAUUGGACAAUGGGCGAAAGCCUGAUCCAGCCAUGCCGCGUGUGUGAAGAAGGUCUUCGGAUUGUAAAGCACUUUAAGUUGGGAGGAAGGGCAGUAAGUUAAUACCUUGCUGUUUUGACGUUACCAACAGAAUAAGCACCGGCUAACUUCGUG
rnacentral:rRNA from 1 species